GACAGAGGGUGCAAACGUUGUUCGGAAUUACUGGGCGUAAAGCGCACGUAGGCGGCUUUGUAAGUUAGAGGUGAAAGCCCGGAGCUCAACUUCGGAAUUGCCUUUAAGACUGCAUCGCUUGAACGUCGGAGAGGUGAGUGGAAUUCCGAGUGUAGAGGUGAAAUUCGUAGAUAUUCGGAAGAACACCAGUGGCGAAGGCGGCUCACUGGACGACUGUUGACGCUGAGGUGCGAAAGCGUGGGGAGCAAACAGG
rnacentral:rRNA from 1 species